rnacentral:sRNA from 1 species
UGAUAGGCAAACUCUAAUGUGGAGUGCGACUUGGCCAAAAGAAGUAAGACAGCUUGCUGAAGAUUUCCUGAAAGACUAUAUUCAUAUAAACAUUGGUGCACUUGAACUGAGUGCAAACCACAACAUUCUUCAGAUUGUGGAUGUGUGUCAUGACGUAGAAAAGGAUGAAAAACUUAUUCGUCUAAUGGAAGAGAUCAUGAGUGAGAAGGAGAAUAAAACCAUUGUUUUUGUGGAAACCAAAAGAAGAUGUGAUGAGCUUACCAGAAAAAUGAGGAGAGAUGGGUGGCCUGCCAUGGGUAUCCAUGGUGACAAGAGUCAACAAGAGCGUGACUGGGUUCUAAAUGAAUUCAAACAUGGAAAAGCUCCUAUUCUGAUUGCUACAGAUGUGGCCUCCAGAGGGCUAGCCCGUACCUUCUUGGGAAUACAAUUGUCUAACUUUUUAUUUUUGGUCUGGCUGUUGUGG